rnacentral:lncRNA from 1 species
AACAUUGAUUAAGUGAAAUUGAUCAUGGUGUGGCAAGUUUAUUAAUAGAAACUUUCAUAAAUGGAUAUCCCUACUAUGACUGUGAAAACAUGUCAGGUGUCACAUGAGUGUCACAGACAGAAAGCACAUGCCUAUGCAAUAUGGCCUACUCUGUAUUUAUUUGUAAAAACUGAAGCAUAAUUUAAAGUGUAUGUCAAUACUGGUUUGAGUUUCUAAGAGAGUUGUUCAUGCUUGUACCAGGUAAGUAUGUAAAAAAAAAGAUUAAGUGCUUUUUCUUUCAUUACUUGAUUAUUUUCUUUAAAAUCAGCUAUUACGGGAUAUUUUUUAUUUUCUACAUGCUGUUUUUUAAUUAAUAUGUACUCACUGAACUGAAGUUUACUAAAUUUGUUUUAUAAGGUUUGUAGUGUUACAGAAUAACUGGGAUUUAUAAACCAGCUGUGAUUAACAAUGUAUUAAUUACUGAACUUGAACCAGACCAUUAGAAAAAUUAUGUUAUUUCUUCCCCUUAUAUGCUCUUAAAAUUUUUUUCCUCCAUACUGUUUUUGAGAUAGUUUGAGAUUUGAGGAUAGGAUGCAUGUAUGAGACUCCAUAAAUUCAACAUUCUGUACUAUAGGUGACAACUAUAAACAAAAUGUAUCUUAGCAUUAAUAUCUUGAGCCUUGAACAUAUUUAAUACAGGACCAUUUUAGAAAUAUUCGGUUAGUUAUAUAUAUUCCUAGCUUACAAGGGCUAGAUCUAAGAUUAUUCUCAAGAGAAAUGUUGAAUUUAUGAAGAAUGGAUUUUGAGGCUUUGAAAAUGAAAAUGGUUAGUAUCUCAAAAUAUGUCAGUAUCCAAACAUCUGUAGUUUUGUCCCAGGAGCAGACAUUAGCUAGCUGGACAAACAGCAGUGAUAUUUGUCACACAGGGCCUAUGGUUUGUUGCUGAACAAUAUAAUACUUUUCUCGUGUGACUCAACACUAUAGCACAAGUAUUAUUUUCCUGGAUUCUCUGGAGGAGCAUCUAAAAGACGGGUUUCUGACAGUGUUUGCUCUUUAAACUAUGUCUUCUUCUACCCCAAGUUGGCUUUGCAUCUUUCACAUAAGUUCUUUAGCUGCCUUAUUAGGAGUUCUAUGAGGGCAACACCUUUUCUGCUUUUCAUCUUGUAUUUAGUUUACUGUGUUAAAAUAUUUGAUUUCAGAUUGAAUGAAUGUAAAUAGAAAGAAAUUAAAUGAAAUUUGAAUGAACAUAAAAUAGAAGUGAUUUUUUUAUUACCUGAGAGAAAAAAAUUUAGUAUACAUAUUUACUAUAGUAUACAUAACCAAUGUACAAUUUUUCAUUAACAUGUUAGAUAUGUUCAUGUUAUCAUAUUUAAUAAACUACUUUUGUAUGAGAAAUGACAGUUAUAAAACUUUCUCCCAAGAUAUUAGAGCUAUUUAAAUAUAUAACAAAUUUUAGUGGUCACUUUAUGUAUUAAAAUUACAGAUUCUUGUUAAUUUUAAAUAUACUUGAAUUGUUUGCUUUUAAAAAUCUUCAUGCAACAAGCUAUAUGGAAUCUAGCGUCACAUAAAAAUAGCGGGAAUACUUUCUUGUAUUAAUAAUCAACAGCUAGCUUUGAUAAUGUAACAUUCAUGUGCAAAAUAAUUGUAAAAAAAAUUUAGCAAAUAUGUCAGAUGGCUCCACAGUUAAGAGCAACGCUGUGCCUUGCAGGGGCAUUACAAAAUAAAUUUGAAAAACAAAAAAAAAUCACCCAUCUCGCCACAUUUAGUGGUGUCUGCCUUUAAUCCCAGCACUCAAGAGGCAGAGGUAAGCAGAUUUCUGUGUUUAAAGCUAGGCUGGUCUACAAAGCUGAUCUACAGGACAGUGAGGGCUGUACAGAAACCCAACCUUGAAAAAACUGAAAAGCAAAAACUAAAAGUGUCUCUAGCAAGGCGUUAUAAUCUCA